rnacentral:rRNA from 1 species
GACGAACGCUGGCGGCGUGCCUAACACAUGCAAGUGGAGCGACGAACCGGGACUUCGGUCCGGGGCAAAGCCGCGAACGGGUGAGUAACACGUGGGUAACCUGCCCCGAUGAUUGGGACAACCCGAGGAAACUCGGGCUAAUACCGAAUGUGCCCUACGGUCGCAAGACCGCUGGGGAAAGGAAGCUUCGGCCUCCGCAUCGGGAUGGGCCCGCGGCCAUUAGCUUGUGGUGAGGUAAAGGCUCACCAAGGCCACGAUGGGUAGCUGGUCUGAGAGGACGAUCAGCC